rnacentral:rRNA from 1 species
AGCAGCCGCGGUAAUUCCAGCUCCAAUAGCGUAUAUUAAAGUUGUUGCAGUUAAAAAGCUCGUAGUUGAAUUUCGGGGUUAGUAGGUUGGUCAUGCCUCUGGUAUGUACUGGUCUCACUGAUUCCUCCUUCCUUAUGAACCGUAAUGCCAUUAAUUUGGUGUUGCGGGGAAUUUGGACUGUUACUAUGAAAAAAUUAGAGUGUUUAAAGCAAGCUAACGCUUGAAUACAUUAGCAUGGAAUAAUGAAAUAGGACGUUCGAUCUUAUUUUGUUGGUUUCUAGGAUUGACGUAAUGAUUAAUAGGGAUAGUUGGGGGCAUUAGUAUUCAAUUGUCAGAGGUGAAAUUCUUGGAUUUAUUGAAGACUAACUACUGCGAAAGCAUUUGCCAAGGAUGUUUUCAUUAAUCAAGAACGAAAGUUAGGGGAUCGAAGACGAUCAGAUACCGUCGUAGUCUUAACCAUAAACUAUGCCGACUAGGGAUCGGAUGAUGUUAAUUUUUUAAUGACUCAUUCGGCGCCUUACG